rnacentral:misc_RNA from 1 species
AGAUGAAGAACGUAGCAAAAUGCGAUAAGUAAUGUGAAUUGCAGAAUUCAGUGAAUCAUCGAAUCUUUGAACGCACAUUGCGCCCGCCAGUAUUCUGGCGGGCAUGCCUGUUCGAGCGUCAUUUCAACCCUCAAGCUCAGCUUGGUGUUGGGACUCGCGGUAACCCGCGUUCCCCAAAUCGAUUGGCGGUCACGUCGAGCUUCCAUAGCGUAGUAAUCAUACACCUCGUUACUGGUAAUCGUCGCGGCCACGCCGUAAAACCCCAACUUCUGAAUGUUGACCUCGGAUCAGGGAGGAAUACCCGCUGAACUUAAGCAUAUCAAUAAGCGGAGGA